GACGAACGCUGGCGGCGUGCUUAACACAUGCAAGUCGAACGGAAAGGCCCUGCUUUUGUGGGGUGCUCGAGUGGCGAACGGGUGAGUAACACGUGAGUAACCUGCCCUUGACUUUGGGGUAACUUCAGGAAACUGGGGCUAAUACCGGAUAGGAGCUCCUGCUGCAUGGUGGGGGUUGGAAAGUUUUGGCGGUUGGGGAUGGACUCGCGGCUUAUCAGCUUGUUGGUGGGGUAGUGGCUUACCAAGGCUUUGACGGGUAGCCGGCCUGAGAGGGGGACCGGCCACAUUGGGACUGAGAUACGGCCCAGACUCCUACGGGAGGCAGCAGUGGGGAAUAUUGCACAAUGGGCGGAAGCCUGAUGCAGCAACGCCGCGUGCGGGAUGACGGCCUUCGGGUUGUAAACCGCUUUCGCCUGUGACGAAGCGUGAGUGACGGUAAUGGGUAAAGAAGCACCGGCUAACUACGUGCCAGCCGCCGCCGUAA
rnacentral:rRNA from 1 species